rnacentral:rRNA from 1 species
ACGUUACCGAUAAAGAAAGCACCGGCUAAUCUCGUGCCAGCAGCCGCGGUAAUACGAGAGGUGCAAGCGUUAUUCGGAAUUAUUGGGCGUAAAGGGCGCGUAGGCGGCUUUAUAAGUUUUUUGUUUAAUUUUCUGGCCUAACUGGAAACAUGCAAAAAAUACUGUAUUGCUAGAGUAUAAUAGAGAGGAGUGGAAUUUUCGGAGUAGCGGUUAAAUGCGUAGAUCUCGAAAGGAACGCCAAUGGCGAAGGCAGCUUCUUGGGUUAUUACUGACGCUGAGGCGCGAAGGCGUGGGGAGCAAACAGGAUUAGAUACCCUGGUAGUCCACGCAGUAAACGAUGAUCACUAGACGUGUGCGGUUUAUCCGUGCGUGUCGCAGCUAACGCGAUAAGUGAUCCGCCUGGGGAGUACGAUCGCAAGAUUAAAACUUAAAGAAAUUGACGGGGAUCCGCACAAGCGGUGGAACAUGUGGUUUAAUUCGACAAUACGCGAGAAACCUUACCUGGGUUUGACAUGCAUAGGACGUAUACAGAGAUGUAUAUUCUAUAAGGAAACU